UGGGGAAUAUUGCGCAAUGGGCGAAAGCCUGACGCAGCGACGCCGCGUGAGGGAUGAAGGUCUUCGGAUCGUAAACCUCUGUUAGCAGGGAAGAACGGUCACUGUGCUAAUCAGCAGUGAAUUGACGGUACCUGCAAAGGAAGCACCGGCUAACUCCGUGCC
rnacentral:rRNA from 1 species